rnacentral:rRNA from 1 species
UGCAGAAGAAGCACCGGCUAACUCCGUGCCAGCAGCCGCGGUAAUACGGAGGGUGCGAGCGUUAAUCGGAAUUACUGGGCGUAAAGCGCAUGCAGGUGGUUUGUUAAGUCAGAUGUGAAAGCCCGGGGCUCAACCUCGGAAUUGCAUUUGAAAACUGGCAAACUAGAGUACUGUAGAGGGGGUAGGAAUUUCAGGUGUAGCGGUGAAAUAGCGUAGAGAUCUGAAGGAAUACCGGUGGCAAAGGCGGCCCCCUCGGACAGAUACUGACACUCAGAUGCGAAAGCGUGGGGAGGCAAACAGGAUUAGAUACCCUCGGUAG